UUCAGCCUAGCUUCUGACCUGAGAGGUUCUCUCUGCAGCUCUCACACUUUGAGCAGGCGCACAUAUUAGAAAAUCAUCAGUGAAGCAUCAUAAAAACACCAUUCCAGCAGUAAAUAGGGAAAAGACCAACAAGGAAUCUCAACGUUUGCUGUCAGAAAAUGAGCCAUUCCACAAUCCACCUAUAAAGAUUAGAGCAAAGGCAAUGCCUGUAACAACAAUAGCAACGACCACUACCAUUUCAGCUAGUGAAGAGAGAUUCGAGCAAUUUAAAAUUAAAUUAAACAUUGUAGCACUGGUUCUUAUAAUAAUGGCAACCCUUUUAACAACAGUGAUCUUAUGUAACAUCUUUCUGUGGAGUCUACGAAUGAAGAAGCUAAAAAAUAAAAAGGAUCUGGAAUCUCAGCUAAAUGAAAUAAAGUCAAAAAGCGAUAAGGCUGCCACAACAGAGAAACCCAAUACUUCUGUUUCAAUAUCAGUGGAAAAAUAAUAACCCGACAUGCUGGGAUCUACUGCUUUACUUUUUUUUCCUAGUAUGGAAGAUUUCACUCUGGAAAUCCUUGUGACAUGUUUUUAAAGAAUCAGCAUCAAAUAAUUGACUUGAGAUCCUGCAACUAUAUAGCACAGUUGAAAGACUUGAAAAGUUUGUUAUGGAUGGCACUAAUGCUAAAAUCAAGACAUACGUAUUGCUGCAAGUACUAACUAAAUGCUUAAUGCAUGUGAAGGCUAGGCAGAUAUGCAUCUUCAGAUAAGCAGCUUGUCCACAUUCUGUACCAAGUAAUACUUAAUGAAAAUGAACUGUGGUUUCUCUGGAUAACAGCAUUCAGGCAACAUAAAUAUUGGAAUGUUAUGAAUAUGGAAUAUAAAUGCUUCAUUGUGUUGAAUAAAAUACUGUUUGUACAUAUAAUUAAAA